AUGCAGCUGGGGCAGGCAUCGACGACGCCAUCACCGCGGCACACCACCAUGCCAUAUUAUACAGUCUUGCAGAUCUGCGUCAGUGGAUUGACGGCAGCGACGAAUGGCUCGAAGCCGAGAAUAAGCAGCAAGACAAUGAUCAUGGCUCUGCCUAACCAUAGCUUGCAGGCCGUGCAAUCAAAUUUCGUGGAAUACAAUAGUGCGGCCGUCCAGGCAUCAGCCUGUCUAAUGGCUACAAGCAAUGUAAGACAAGGGGAGAGAACAAUAACAAAUCGAGUUUCAGUGUUUCCGUCAACAGAGAAGAGGUCUUCUUAUGACCUUGAGGGAGGUGCGGAGUUGAAGAUGAUUACGAUCGUUCGGUAA
rnacentral:rRNA from 1 species